rnacentral:rRNA from 1 species
UCAAUGCACUUACGUGCGAAGGGGCUACCUCGAGUGCCACCUGAUGAAGGUGGCUUUUCCUAGGUCUAAAAAGCCUUGGGAAUAAGAGGGGGGCAAGACUGGUGUCAGCCGCCGCGGUAACACCAGCCCCUCGAGUGGUGGGGAUGAUUAUUGGGCCUAAAGCGUCCGUAGCCUGCCGUGUAAGUUUCCCGUUAAAUCCAGCGUCUUAAGCGUUGGACCGCGGGAAAUACUGUACGGCUAGAGAGUGGGAGAGGUCAGCGGUAUUCUGGGGGUAGGGGCGAAAUCCUUUGAUCCCCGGAGGACCACCAGUGGCGAAGGCUGCUGUCUAGAACACGUCUGACGGUCAGGGACGAAAGCUGGGGUAGCGAACCGGAUUAGAUACCCGGGUAGUCCCAGCCGUAAACGAUGCAUGCUAGGUGUUGGGUUGGCCACGAGCCACCCCAGUGCCGCAGGGAAGCCGUUAAGCAUGCCGCCUGGGAAGUACGAUCGCAAGGUUGAAACUUAA